rnacentral:lncRNA from 1 species
AAAAAAGCCGGGUUAUUUUCAAUCCUGAUUAAUUAUUACUGUAGAUCCAUCAUUUUGAAAUGGUCUUCUCUGAUUGGUUCUCCUCAAAUUAAUCACGGUUAAAAUUUAACCGGCUUUUGUGCAAACAAGCCUCUAUCAACCAAUUUUACAACCGCUCAUUUCAAAUCUUGUAUUUGUUGCAGAAUUCUACUGUUUUUAACUUUUCUAUUAAAAUAAUGAUUAAUAUAUUUUUUCAAUAUGGAAGUAUGGCAUUUUAAUAACAAUCAAGCAUUAUAAACAUAUUCCCUGCAUUUUCUUGUUUUAAAUUUUUAUUUUAUCUUACAACAUUUUCUAGAUUUAUUUGUGACAAACAUUAAUUUUCCAUUUCAAAAAUGUAAUGUACAUUCAAAAACGAUCACUUCUACUUUUACUUACAACUAUUUUUGUUUUUACACCAAAUUUCUCUAAAUGAAUAUUCGAAAAACAAUUGAAGGAAAUCUUCAAACAAUGACCGUCCGUUAGUGAGUUAAUUUUUUGUAAAAAAAAUACUUGAAAACCUAACAAUAUUGUGUAAUAUAGGCAGGUAGUUACGUCUUGUAAAAAUUGAAAACUAUUGUGUGUAAUUUUGUAAAAAAAAUCUGAUAAUGGGGUCUGGUUGUUGGGAAAAAUAUAUAUAUUAUUUUAUCUUUAAUGUAAAUUGGGGAUUAAUUUUGUUUUCGAUUGUUUGUUGAAACGUUUUUUAAUAAAUGUUAAAUAGGAAGGCUGAUUUACUUCAAAAACUGUGCUUCUUAUAAUAUAAAUUUCGAAGUAUAAUCCUCAAUAAAUUUGUUUCAAAAUAAUUUAUUUAUUUUGAAAACAGGAUAACUGGCAGCUUGUAAUUUUGUUUAGUGUAUUAUUAUUAUUAUUAAAUUGUAAAUUUUUUACCUCUAGUUUGUUUAUAACUUUAUCAACUCACCGGUUUUUAAUUUAGUUGGAUUAUUUUUUUGUUUUUGAAAACAAUUUUAUGUAGAUACUUUAGAACUUGUGCACUUGUUUUAUGUUUUGUAAAAUAGUUGAAUGAUUUUAAACGAAAAUUAUAUAAUUUGAUCAAAAGUCAUGGAACCUUGAAAAGUGGGUGGAAAACGAUUAAAAAAAUUUAGGAUCUAGAAUUUUACUAAAAUUGUAAGGGAUUAUAUGUGCAAGAUUAGGAUAUAAGACAACAAAACUAAUUCGAAAAAUUCUAGAUUUAAUUGUUGUCUAGUAUAUACAUAUAUUAUGGUAUAUAAUAAUAUUAUCAUUGAUGACUAUACUGUGAAAAUUUUAAUAACUAUAGAUAUAUUGUUGAUACAGUUUAAGGUUGAUGUAAAUAUCAGGCGAUAGAUGUGUAUGUCAAUUAAUUUUAAUUUAAUUAUUUCUGUUAAUUUGGCUUUGAUUGGCGAGAUUCACUUGUAUCGUGACGAGCCAAAGUGGGGCAGGGACAAAGUGUGAUUAGAAUUUAGUCCCAGGUUGUCGGCAUGGGACAAAAUUUUGUCCCAGUUUGAUGUGGUCCCACAUGGAACAAUAUUAUUACUGACUUGAGUUUUGUAUCAUCUAUGAUGAAAAAUAAUGUUUGUUCAAUUUUUAAAUGCUGGAUAUUUUGAUUGAUAAUUCUUAUUGUACCAAUCGGUGAUAAAAUAAAGCCUCUAUGUUAAAUUUGAAAUUUGAUUUUCUCAACUUUUCAUUUCAUAAACUGUGGUGCUAACUUACUCUCAUUUUAUUUUUCAUGUGUUUCACACAUUGUCCAUUGGCUUGAUUCUCAAUUUUUGACACAAGAUUUUACACUGUAGAACAUUUUUUUUUUAGACAUUUUGGGACUUACUUUUUCGUUUUCGUCAAUAUUUCUCCUAAUUUGUUUUGAUACUCUCAAUUCCCUUGAAACAUCAUUUGGUAGCCUGAAAAAUAACACAAAUUUUUCAAUUAGAUCACAAUUUCAGUUACUUCCCCUUCAAUUCUAUUCAAAAACAUUUUUUUCUUUUCAUUUUCAACCUCUUUCUUUUGCUAGUAUACUUUCACACCUAUUGUAUGUGUCUCGACAACAUCUCAAAUAUGACUGAACUAAAUAAUACUUCUUUAACCGACUGUACAUGGAAUAGAAACUAUUGUACCAGACUGUACACCGUAUUGUCACUAUGUAAAUAAAUACUAUGAAUAGAUAUAGCGGAUGAGUGUACAAAAAAACAGCUAGCUGAAUUGAGAGAAAUUGAAUUUAAAAAAAAUAAAACACAAGCUUGUGUUUUUUUAGGCAAAUUGUGAACAUACUAGGUGAAUAAUUGAGAUUGUGUAUUAUAUAUUACAAUAAUAAUUACUAUUAUAAAUAAAUUUAGAUAAUGUGGUAAAUUAGGUAAUUGUUGUAGAGAGUGAGAGAGAGAGAAAAGUUGAGAAAGUUCCAACUUGAAUAAUAGUUGGAAUUUUUUGACUUCUGUAUUUUUUAUAAAAUGGAAGUAGGUGAUUUUUCUGGUAUAUGGUGAAAGAAACUAAUAUUAGAGGCUGUUUUAAAGUUUGGUUGGUGUUUGAAACAUUUUUUAUUUAAAAAUAUUUUUCCAAAUUUUUUGUUAGGUAUCUAAAUUCAUUUCUGUGAUAUCCAUUUCCAGAAAUAUUUUCCUGCUUUUUGUUUUCUUGUUUACUUGUUAUCUGAAUUCAUUUCAGUUUAUUUUCCUUGACUUUAUCUACAGAAAUAUCUUCUGUCGUUUGUAUAUUUCAUUUAUUGGUUAUCUAGAUAAAGAGAUUCAGGUUAAAAUGGAAGAGUUUCAAUUUAAUGAGAGGUUUAGAAUAAAGAUAUUGAUUGAUUGAUAGAUCUAUUUCUACUCAUAGGUCUCUAUUUUCUUCUAUAUUUUUUAUAUAUCCUUAUUUUAGUCUACUGUUUAUCUAAAUUUAUUUCAGUUAUUUUUUAUAGUAUAAACAUUGAAAAUUAUUUUUCUGUCCUGUUUGUCCAUGGUUGUUAAUUUUUUUAGUACAUUAACUCACAUUUUCGUCUACUGUUUAUCUAAAUUUAUUUCAUUUAUUUUUAUAGUAUUAACCUUGAAAAUUAUUUUUCUAUUCUGCGCAUCCAUGGUCGUUAAUUUUUGUAGUACAUUAACUCACAUUUUCCAAAACUUGAAUAUGAAUUGUCAUUUAAAAAUGUUUUCAACAUCAGCCAAACCGUUUCAACCCUGUCUAAGCACAAUACAAAUAAUAGUUUACUUCUAUCAACUACCUUAGGCUUUUUAUUAUAAUUGAUGAUUGAUUACUUAUGUGUCUUAGUAUUGGUAAAUUUUGUAGACUCUAGUUUUGAAAAUAUUGUAAAAAUCUGUUACUUUAAUUAAGAUUUUUAUGGGGGAAAUGAAUGACAUGAAACCUGAAACCUGUUUGAAGCAGUCAUCAAAAUUGUUUGUUAAUCAAUUUUUCAAUACCAUCUUAUAGAAAGGAAUUGUCCUAUACAUGUACAUGACAACAUGAUACUCAUUCAUUUAAUCUAUACUAUAAUAAAUGAAAGAACUGGCUUAUACAGGUAGGGGAUAGGAAAUUCACGAAUGACACAUCAUCACGUCUCAACUACUCAACUCAUUAACUUCACAUUUUGCAUAAAUAUUCUCAAUUAGUUGAGGAGGUUAUGGGCCUAUUUUCAUUCUUAUAAUCAAUCAAUUUUAAUUAAAUAAUUCAAACAAAUUUUUGACUCAAUGUUUACACAAUGAUAAAAGCCCAACCAAACAGAUAUAUUUCUCCAAGUGAUUCCUUGGAGCAUGUGUGGCUGUAAAUUAAUAUUACAUCAAUAAACCUGUAACAGCUACAUGUCAGAGGAUCGGCAACGUUGUUCUGUAUGGUUGCAAGUUCGAGACCAGUCAAAGUCUUUUUUUUUUUUGCUGAGAAUUUACAACUCUGAUAAAGAUUAUCCAAGUAAUUUUGACACAGUCAUCAAUAAUUAAUAAUCAAUAAUUAUUUUAUCAGAUGGAAAUCACUGAGAUAUUGCAUUUAUUCAAAUGCUGAUGAAUUAAUUAUUUGGAUUUUCAUUUAAUAAUAAUAGAUAUAAUUUUUUUAUUAUGUUUCCUGGGCAUAAGGAGAUUGCAUUUUACAACAAAUUGUAAUUUUUUCUAUUGAUGUAGUAAUGGAUGAAGAAAAACACCAUAUUUUCCCCCAGUGUUCAAUAUUAAUAGUCUUUAAAGUGUAAUAUUUAUUUUAUCCAAGUUUAUUUAUCUUUGUAACUCGUUUUUUCGUAACUGGGGACCCAAAAACCUUCGGGUUUGGCAAGACCCUCAAUUUUUUGUAUUCUGAAUAAAAAUUUUGAUUGAAUUUUGAAACUUAUAUCCACCUAUACAAACAAUUUUGAGGACCGCUUCAAUUCUAUUCAAAUAUUUUGUCUUUAAACAAAUGAAUCAUUUUUCAAUUAUAUUUUGUUUCUAAUCACCAUAUACAUUAUGAAUUGAUAAAAGUUACGUUUGAUAAUAUUUUGAUAAUAUUUGUUACCCAAAGUAUGUUUAAUUGUAUUUGUUUUCGAAAAUGUUUGUGUAUAAAUUGAAUUGAAACUACUAAUUAUAUUCACAAUUCACAAUGCUAUUAUAUAGAUAUAUAUUUAAUCUUAAAUGAAUAAAUGAUGAUGAUGAUGAUAAACUUACAUACAAUAACAAUACAAUGAAAGUAUAUAUAUAUAAUAUUCUGAAGAUGAUUGAAGGUAUUUUCUCUUUGAUUUUGCUGUUUUAUGUUUUCCAUUAUUUUUAAUUAAUUUUUAUCAUUACAUAUAAACAUAAUAUAUAUUAAAUAUAUGUUAUAUUUAUAUAUUUAUUAUCAUAUCCACUACUCUGGCUAGCUAUUUCUGUUAUAUUAUUGUCUUUUUGUUUUAUUUUCAAUUUGUUUCUUGAAUUAUUGUACAUUAUUUUUAGUUUUAAUAAUGCUGUCUUAAUGUAGUUACAUACCACAAGAUUAUCUACAUUUUCAUCAUGUAUUAAUGAUAUUGAAUAUAAUUUUAAUUUUGUGUUUUGUGCAAAAAUUAUACAAUACACAUACUACCUUCGUGAAGAUAGUUGAAAUAAAAGAUCUAUUCAUUAUAUUA